CAUGCAGCGGCCAUCGCCUACCCUAAUGCUCCUGCUCCGGACCUUACUGCUGGCUUUGAGCUUUCUUGCUUGCUAUGCGCCAGCUAGCGGAAUGCUUUACCGAAUGCGCCAACCAACCUCUGGUGUCGGGCCUACGUGUGCCAACUCCAACUAGGAAACUACUACCGCUUGGGCCUAAGCUCCUGAACCGGCAGGAAGAAGAAGCGCACCCGAACCCCCCUUCUUACUACCCUUUCAGAAGGUGAGGCAGAAGGAUUGAG
rnacentral:lncRNA from 1 species